AUGUAAGAUGUGACUUUGCUCCUCAUUCACCUUCAGCCAUGGUUGUGAGACCUCCCCAGCCAUGUGGAACUGUAGUUUUGUUUCACUCUAAUGCUUCCCUUAACAUGCUUAGCCAGAGUACUUUGGUUAUAAACCAGAGUACUUUGUCUUCAACAAGAAGGGACUGUCUCAGAGACCCAGGAAAAGGUCUAUGCCAGGCAGUAUGGGGCACAGACUUCUGAGGAAUUGUUAAGAUAAUAUUGACAACAUACCAUGGACUGAGUCAAGCUAUCCAGUAAUCUAGUGAAGAAGCUGAUGAGUUCAUGAAACUGCCGGUUCAAACUCAGCAUAAUUUUAUCGUCUUUCAAGAAGGAGAGAAUAUGACUGACUAGAAACAUCAGAUGCCAGUUCUCGGAAAGAUCAAAGUUACAAGUGAAUGGUCAUGAUGUGAACAGAAAGCUAAAGGAAGAGAGCCGGGACUGUUGCAGAGCCCACAGGAAAAAGCUGGGACACAGAAAGGGAAGGUAGCAAGAGUCUGGCAGAGAUUGACCUCCGAGGAUUUUGAAGUCCCACAGAGGGAAUGCAGCAGAGGCUUUCUCCACUGCAGACUGUCACAAAUGCACUUGAAGACAGCCUUUCCAGUGCUAUUCAUAGAAACUGCACCCCCGUUGAAAGUGAGCUUGUACCCCACUGGUAUGCAUGAUGGGCAGGGCCCAAUCUCCCCCUCCGUACAUAGAGGAGCAGCAACCCAGCAACAGAAGGCAGACAAGCCAUGAAGCCUGGUCUGGACUGGAAGAAGAAGCAUUGUCCUGGGGUCAUUUCAGUCCUGGGGUCAUUUCAAAAUAUUCUUCUGCCAGAAGAAUAUUUUCUCUGACCUCCGUAACACUGUGGCCAGAAGUCAAAGGACACUGUCUAUAUGAACUGAAGGUCAUGAGCUCUGUGACAGGGGCACAACAGGGAAGCAAAUCACAUUCCUCCCUGCCCAGGACUAGAGACAGAUGUAACCCCCCAACUUCUUCCCCCAAGACCUCAGUACAUCCCAACACAACUCUCCCUGCCUGCCCCCAUCAGGAUGGGUUGCCUCCACUUAUCAAAGGGCUACCAAAUGUUACUCUUAAGCGCCACCUACUGGAAUGGAGACUGAACUGCAUCACUGAAUAAAAAUCCUGCCGUCCGAAGAGCACAGGGUUAGUGCAUGAGAUAAGCUUCCUGAGACCGCUGCAUUCCCAGUCACGCAGGGCAUAGUGUAUUGGCUCAUAUGCCCAACACAUUGCUAAGGCAAGCAGCAUUUGAGAAAACCACCACACAUGAUUCCAUAUCUUUGUUACUGUGAAUGUGCUGCAAUGAACAUGGGAAUGCAGAUAACGCAUCAAAACACUGGUUUCACUUCUUUUGGAUAUAUACCCAGCAAUGAGGUUGCUGGAUCAUAUUUUUAAUUUUCUGGGGAAUCUCCAUGCUGUUUUUUAUAACGACUGUACCCAUUUACAUUCCCACCAAUAGUGAACAAGUGUUUUCUUUUCUCCACGUCUCCACCAACACUUAUUAUCUUUUGCUUUUUGAUAAAAUACACUCUAAUACGUAUGAGGUGAUAUCUCAUUGUGGUUUUAAUUUACAUUUCCCUGAUGGUUAGUGAUGUUGAGAAUUUUUUCAUAUCUGCAUUGGCCAUUUGUAUGUCUUCUUUUAAGAAAUAUCUAAGUCUUUUGUCCAUUUUUAAUUCUGUUAUUUAUUUUCCUUGCUAUUGAUUUGUUUAAGUUCCUUAUAAAUUUUGGAUAUUAACCCCUACCAGAUGUAGCAAACUGAAUUCAAUGGCACAUUAAAAGGAUGGUUCACUAUGAUCAGGUGGGAUUCAAGAAUGGAUCACCAUAUGCAAAUCAAUAAAUGUGAUACACCCCAUUAACAGAAUGAAGAACAAAAACCAUAUGAUCAUCUCAAUAGAUGUAGAAAUGCAUUUGACAAAAUUCAACAUUUUUUAUGAUAAAAACUCCCAACAAAUUAGUUAUAGAAGCAAUGUACCUCAACACCAUAAAGGUCGUGUAUCACAAGCCCACAUAACAUAAUAUGCAAUGGUGAAAAGUUAAAGCUUUUCCUCUAAGAUCAGGCACAGUACAAGCAUGCCCAAUCUUGCCGUUUCUAUUCAACAUAAUAAUGGAAAUCCUAGCCAAAGUGAUUAGGAAAGAGAAACAAUAAAAAACAUCCAACUCACAGAUAAGGGAGUUAAAUUGUUUCUGUUUACAGACAAAAUGAUUAUAUAUAUAUAUAUAAAAUUGUUGGAAAUAAUAAAUGAAUUCAAUGAAGUUUUGAGAUACAAAAGUAAUGUACAAAUAUCAGUAGUGUUUAUAUGCAAUAACAACAAACUCUCCAAAAAACAAAUCAAGAAAAUUAUCCCAUUUAAAAUAGCUACAAAAAUAUAAAAUACUUAUCCAUAAAUUUAACCAAGAAGGUAAAAGAUGUGUAUACUGAAAACCAUAAAACAUUGAUGAAAGGAAUUGAAGAAGAAACAAAUAAAUGGAAGGAUAUUUUGUGUUCCUGGAGUGGAGUAAUUAAUAUUGUUAAAAUGUCCAUACUACCCAAAGUGAUCUACAGAUUCAAUGCAAUGCAAUCCCUAUAAAAAUUCCAAUUACAUUUUUCCCAGAAGUGGAAAAAAUCCUAAAAUUUGUACGAAACCACAAAGGACCCUGAAUAGCCAAAGCAAUAUUGAACAAAAGUGACUAAGCUGGAGGCAUUGCACUUGCUGUUCUCAAAAUAUACUACAAAGCUAUAGUAAUCAAAACAGCAGAGACUGGCGUCAAAACAGACUUAUACAUCAAAGAAACAGAGUAAAGAGCCCAGAAAUAAAUCCAUGAGUUGACAGUUACCUGAUCUCUUUACAAAAGUGCCAAGAACACACAAUGGAAAAAAGAGAGUCUCUUCAAUUAAAUGGUGUUGGUUAACUGGGUAUCCACAAGCAGAAGAAUGAAAUUAGAUCUUUAUCUCACCCCAUAUACAAAAAUCAACUCAAAAUGGAUUAAAAACUUAAAUAUAAGACCAGAAAUUAUAAGCCUACUAAAAGAAAACAUAGGUAAAACUUCUUGACAUUGGUCUUGGCAAAUAUUUUUUGAAUAUGACA